rnacentral:hammerhead_ribozyme from 1 species
AUGAUGACAAGUCCCAAAUAGAACGAAACGCGCGUCCUGGAU